rnacentral:rRNA from 1 species
UCCAGACUCCUACGGGAGGCAGCAGUGGGGGAUAUUGCACAAUGGGGGAAACCCUGAUGCAGCGACGCCGCGUGAGUGAAGAAGUAUUUCGGUAUGUAAAGCUCUCUCAGCAGGGAAGAAAAUGACGGUACCUGACUAAGAAGCCCCGGCUAACUACGUGCCAGUAGCCGCGGUAAUACGUAGGGGGCAAGCGUUAUCCGGAUUUACUGGGUGUAAAGGGAGCGUAGACGGCAUGGCAAGUCAGAUGUGAAAGCCCGGGGCUCAACCCCGGGACUGCAUUUGAAACUGUCAGGCUGGAGUGCAGGAGAGGUAAGUGGAAUUCCUAGUGUAGCGGUGAAAUGCGUAGAUAUUAGGAGGAACACCAGUGGCGAAGGCGGCUUACUGGACUGUAACUGACGUUGAGGCUCGAAAGCGUGGGGAGCAAACAGGAUUAGAUACCCGGGUAGG